UUUUGUAUUGUUUUAAGCCCGGGGUUUCC
rnacentral:piRNA from 1 species